UCCCUGCACUCAGGCAUUGUAGUAGAAACAUGUUGUUGCUCCCUUCAGCCACAAGAGGGAGUAUACCCUUAAAUGAGCGCUUCUGUCAGGAGUAAACAGAGUCAGCACGUACAUUGAAUGGUAGUGCCAAGAGCAAACGCUGGACAGAAAUGUGUUGACAAUGUACGCGAUGUCUGUGUAUUUUGCAGGAGGCCUCUGUUGUGUGGUCACAAGUGGGAUGAGACAUGGCCCAUGGGUGACAGCUGACCAAAGUGGCUAAUUUUCAUGUCCUUUCCAAAAGCACCGUUGGGAGGACAACGAAAAUCAAAUGUCCUCCAGGGUCUCGCAGGGACGGUCAAUGAUGUCCUCUGACUCACUCACAGGGUGUUUGUGAAGGACACAAGAGACCCUGGAGCCUCUGGGCUUCCCAGCCCACCUUGUUUUGGGCCUAAAAACAUGUCUUGCGAGUAGAGCUCAUCUAGUGAUCCAAAAAAAGGGAGACUCCAUCAGCAAAGGUGCUGGGAACAGCAGCCAUUGCGCCGUCCAGGAAUUCUACAACCGUAUAUUUUUUAUCAGUCAUUUCUACAAAGGAAAGGAAGGAAAGGUAAGCAUUAUAAAGUAGAGUGCUAUAUUGCGUUGUUGAGCAUGAUGGCCCGUUCAUUUGAAAGUCCACUCACCACGUCAAGGUACAGGCAGACAUAAACUAUACAUUACACAAGGACAUAGAAAUGGCAGGGUUAUUGACUGUUUCAGGUUAAAUUCAGCAUUAGGUUGGGUUAGAUUGAACAAAACGAUGUGAAAGAACAUUACCGACAAUGACACUGUCCUGUACACUGUCGUUUGACUCCAUGACUGUCCUGUAUACUGUCCUGUGACUCCA